rnacentral:lncRNA from 1 species
CUUAAGACAUCUUUUUAGGGUCCUGAAAUUACAUGCGCCAAGCACCUGUUACAUGGCUUCUUUGAAGGUUAAUGAAGCAGAAAAAUGGAGUUCAAAUACACGGAGAGAAAUAUAAUGAAGGAAAAAGAGGAAUAGACUAGCCUUUUAGAAGCACAUAGUGAAAAAACAUCUAAUGAUCUUUUAUUGUGUUGACAUGUAUUUUAGGUUUAAAAAGAAACUAUUAGAGUCAAUCAUUAUAUUAUGUUUUACAACCCUUACCUAUUUUAGGCCUCCAAACCGUUUUUACCUGUGAUUUAAAAAAUAACUUAGAACUGCACUUCUGCCAUUCACUGGAGCUGAUUUGCACUCUGAACUCUGUUCUAACCUAAUCAGGGCCCCACUUUCUCAUUGGGUAACCAAGCAAAAACAUGAAAGCGGUGAGUUGUACACAAAGACACAUGAGGGCCAAAUUGUCUUAAGUUUCCAGAAUGGCCAGUGAAGAUGGCAGCAACUUCUUGCUACAUUUUGAUGGAUCCCUGGCAUGGAAAAGCAAGAUGAUCCCUUAUCCUAGAACUAUGUACUGUCCAACAGUGGCAUCUUUGUGAUAAGAUGUUUCCACUUUCAAAGGAAGCUAUGCAGGCAGCUUCCAGAAUCCUGUGUAUCAAAGUAUUUCGGUUGGUGCAAAAGUAACCGUGUUUUUUGCCAUUAAAAGUAAUGAAAUCAUUUUUAGGUUGGUGCAAAAUUGUGGUUUUUAUCAUUCCUUUUGCACCAACCUAACAAAACACGAAACACAUCAUUUGAUAAGAUACAAAUAUCAAGCCUGAACUUAAUUAAAAAUGCUUACAAUGUGACCAAUUUAGAGACUAUCUUAUGAACAAGAACAGACAUCUCUUAUGGAAAUAAGAGCUUAGGUUUAUAUGGAUUUAAACUUUUUGAAGCAAUUUUACAUUUUAUUGCAUUUGAUUCUUCUAUCUGUGAGGAUUGUUGUAAUGACAAACCACAGAGAAUAUCAUUGGCUUAAAACAGCACGGGUGUUAUUUCUUGCUCAUGUUACUUUUCAUGGAUCACCUGAGGAGAGCCACUUGCCCUCUAUUACCCUCACUCAGGUAUCCAGGCCAAGGGAAGCUCCAUCUCUGUGCUUCUGUGAUUGCGAAGUCGGGGAAAGGGAGCAUGCUGAGUGGUACACUAGCUGUAUCUUCUUGAAAGUGAUUCAGGUCACUUCUGCUCAUUGUUUGUGAGCCAAAGCAAGUCCCAUGGUUCCUUCUUCAAAGGAAGUGAGGAACUUAAACCAGCUCUAUUCCUUUCUUAACAUCCUGUUGUGAAUUGUUAGAUGAUGGGAAUAUACUCUUCAAGAUGAACAUGAAGCACAGUCAUGAUACAAAAAUCAAACUAUUAAGUGGUGCACCCCAGCCUGAUUCAGUAGGAAGGGAUUUCUGGCCUACAGCAUAGGAGGUCUCCAUGACUUUUGUAGUAUGGAGUGGAAAGAUGGGUAGGAUGGGAGUUGGGAGGCUCUUUUUACCAAAAGGCAGGACAGU